rnacentral:rRNA from 1 species
AUAAUCUAUAAUUGUGCAGAUUUUCAGUUCACGAAACCAUUCGAGCUAAAUUUCGUGAAAUUUUGGUUCCAAAAAUUAGCGUAGCAAAGCUAAAAAUUUAAAAAAAAUUUAGGGGUGAUAGGCCGGCCAAGUCUGGGGAUAUCUUGUUAUUUAGGAAAUAUAUUUAGUAUAAUAAUUCAGUAUUAAAAUGGUGAGGUUUUAAUAUACCAUAAUUAAGUAAGAACAAGUGUUGGGUGUAGUAAAAAACACCAAUUAAGUAAAUCAAAUAUAAAUUUACAGUUAAUAUGAUAAAUACUAAAGACUAUUUUACAAUAUAAUAAAAUAAUGAUAAUGAUAAUAUUAGUACUUUUUGAUACAUUAAUUAGGAACUCGGCAAACAGUAUUCUCGUCUGUUUAUCAAAAACAAAGUUUUAAGUAAUAUAUUUAAAAUAAAACCUGCUCAAUGAUUUAUUUAAAUAGCCGCAGUACCUUGACUGUGCAAAGGUAGCAUAAUCAAUUGGCUUAUAAUUGAAGUCUGGAAUGAAAGGGAAUCCGGGGAUUAGCUCUCUUAUUAAUUUUAAAUGAACUUACUAAUUAAGUGAAAAUUCUUAAGAAAAGAAAAAAGACGAGAAGACCCUAGAAAUUUACAUUUGAUAUAUUUUGUUGGGGCGACACGGUAACAAGUAACCUACCUAAAAAAAUAAGAAUUUAUUUAAAGGUGUAAUUAAAUUACUCUAGGGAUAACAGCAUAAUAUUUGAAAGAUUGUGACCUCGAUGUUGGACUAGGGAAAAUAAUAUUUAGAAGAUAUUAUUAGUUGCUCUGUUCGAGCAUUACCCCUACACGAUCUGAGUUCAGACCGG